rnacentral:rRNA from 1 species
GGCCCGAGUUGUAAUUUGUAGAGGAUGCUUUUGGUGAGGUGCCUUCCGAGUUCCCUGGAACGGGACGCCAUAGAGGGUGAGAGCCCCGUCUGGUUGGACACCGAUCCUCUGUAAAGCUCCUUCGAC